UACAGAGGUCCCAAGCGUUGUUCGGAUUCACUGGGCGUAAAUGGUGCGUAGGCGGUCGGGUAAGUCUGAUGUGAAAUCUCACAGCUUAACUGUGAUACUGCAUUGGAUACUAUCCGGCUCGAGGAAUGGAGGGGAGACUGGAAUACUUGGUGUAGCAGUGAAAUGCGUAGAUAUCAAGUGGAACACCAGUGGCGAAGGCGAGUCUCUGGACAUUUCCUGACGCUGAGGCACGAAAGCCAGGGGAGCAAACGGG
rnacentral:rRNA from 1 species